UGGUGUAAAAGACCACCGGCAUCUGCAGUAAUGUGGAUGGCCAGGUAACCCCCGCCGGGAGCAAGACCAAGUAGGGACGAAGCCAUCCGCGGAUGGCGGGAGACUGCUCGUCUUCAUACGUGCUCUCUCAUGAGAUGAGAAAGCCAGUCCCGGGUAGGUCGCAUCGAGCGGUGCGGCGACGUGCCGCCCAGAGAGAUGAUCGCACAGUGGCGUUCGCGCCACGGACAGAAUGCGGCUUAUAGACCGUCCUGAGGG
rnacentral:RNase_P_RNA from 1 species